rfam:Salmo salar isolate Sally breed double haploid chromosome ssa12, whole genome shotgun sequence.
AUUGUCGUCUUACCAGACAAGUUUAGAUCUAGCUACUCUGUCUAAUACUGUCUGGUAAUGCCGUCCAU